CAUGCACCGGUGGGGUCCCUCGUCUUGGCCUGCACCCUCUUGGAGAGCUGGUUUCCGCUCAAACCCUGCAGGCCAGGCCGAGGGACCCCACCGGUGCACA
rnacentral:pre_miRNA from 1 species